GCCCUGGUGGCGGAAUGGUAGACGCGCAGGUUUCAGGUACCUGUGGCUUAACGGCUGUGAAGGUUCGAGUCCUUUCCUGGGCACCA
rnacentral:tRNA from 1 species